UAUAGCCACAAAUUUCUACUGAGUAUUUAUCUACUAUAUGGCAGGUCAAGUCUGCAUUCUGGGAUAAAGGGUUGACACAAUCUUGAAUCAGUGCCUAGGGAGUUCACAAGUCCAGAAAGGGGAUAGAGUAUAGAGAAGAUAAAGCAGAUGUCCGUACAAAGACUUGUAUGCGAAUGAUCAUAGCAACUUUAUUUGUAAUAGCCAAAACCUGAAAGCAACCCAAAUGUAUGUUAAGAAGCAAAUGGAUACAUAAAUUGUGGCAUAUGCAUACAAUGGGAUACCCAGCAAUAAAAAGGCUAAAAAGGCAUGAACUAUUCAAAGAUAAGAAAGCUGAAGAAGAGUAAAAAUAAAGAAACUUCUACAAAGCCACACAUGUAAUUGACCCAUCAUUUGGAUGUCCCAAAACCACAGAUGCAAUAGAAGAAUGGAACAAAUUUAUACAUUUUGUCAAUGAAAACUUUAUCUUCA
rnacentral:lncRNA from 1 species